UAAGCGACUAAGCGUACACGGUGGAUGCCCUGGCAGUCAGAGGCGAUGAAGGACGUGCUAAUCUGCGAUAAGCGUCGGUAAGGUGGUAUGAACCGUUAUAACCGGCGAUUUCCGAAUGGGGAAACCCAGUGUGAUUCGUCACACUAUCAUUAACUGAAUCCAUAGGUUAAUGAGGCGAAUCGGGGGAACUGAAACAUCUAAGUACCCCGAGGAAAAGAAAUCAACCGAGAUUCCCCCAGUAGCGGCGAGCGAACGGGGAGCAGCCCAGAGCCUGAAUCAGUGUGUGUGUUAGUGGAAGCGUCUGGAAAGGCGCGCGAUACAGGGUGACAGCCCCGUACACAAAAAUGCACAUGCUGUGAGCUCGAUGAGUAGGGCGGGACACGUGGUAUCCUGUCUGAAUAUGGGGGGACCAUCCUCCAAGGCUAAAUACUCCUGACUGACCGAUAGUGAACCAGUACCGUGAGGGAAAGGCGAAAAGAACCCCGGCGAGGGGAGUGAAAAAGAACCUGAAACCGUGUACGUACAAGCAGUGGGAGCACAGAGCAAUCUGUGUGACUGCGUACCUUUUGUAUAAUGGGUCAGCGACUUAUAUUCUGUAGCAAGGUUAACCGAAUAGGGGAGCCGAAGGGAAACCGAGUCUUAACCGGGCGUUAAGUUGCAGGGUAUAGACCCGAAACCCGGUGAUCUAGCCAUGGGCAGGUUGAAGGUUGGGUAACACUAACUGGAGGACCGAACCGACUAAUGUUGAAAAAUUAGCGGAUGACUUGUGGCUGGGGGUGAAAGGCCAAUCAAACCGGGAGAUAGCUGGUUCUCCCCGAAAGCUAUUUAGGUAGCGCCUCGUGAAUUCAUCUCCGGGGGUAGAGCACUGUUUCGGCAAGGGGGUCAUCCCGACUUACCAACCCGAUGCAAACUGCGAAUACCGGAGAAUGUUAUCACGGGAGACACACGGCGGGUGCUAACGUCCGUCGUGAAGAGGGAAACAACCCAGACCGCCAGCUAAGGUCCCAAAGUCAUGGUUAAGUGGGAAACGAUGUGGGAAGGCCCAGACAGCCAGGAUGUUGGCUUAGAAGCAGCCAUCAUUUAAAGAAAGCGUAAUAGCUCACUGGUCGAGUCGGCCUGCGCGGAAGAUGUAACGGGGCUAAACCAUGCACCGAAGCUGCGGCAGCGACACUGUGUGUUGUUGGGUAGGGGAGCGUUCUGUAAGCCUGUGAAGGUGUACUGUGAGGUAUGCUGGAGGUAUCAGAAGUGCGAAUGCUGACAUAAGUAACGAUAAAGCGGGUGAAAAGCCCGCUCGCCGGAAGACCAAGGGUUCCUGUCCAACGUUAAUCGGGGCAGGGUGAGUCGACCCCUAAGGCGAGGCCGAAAGGCGUAGUCGAUGGGAAACAGGUUAAUAUUCCUGUACUUGGUGUUACUGCGAAGGGGGGACGGAGAAGGCUAUGUUGGCCGGGCGACGGUUGUCCCGGUUUAAGCGUGUAGGCUGGUUUUCCAGGCAAAUCCGGAAAAUCAAGGCUGAGGCGUGAUGACGAGGCACUACGGUGCUGAAGCAACAAAUGCCCUGCUUCCAGGAAAAGCCUCUAAGCAUCAGGUAACAUCAAAUCGUACCCCAAACCGACACAGGUGGUCAGGUAGAGAAUACCAAGGCGCUUGAGAGAACUCGGGUGAAGGAACUAGGCAAAAUGGUGCCGUAACUUCGGGAGAAGGCACGCUGAUAUGUAGGUGAAGUCCCUCGCGGAUGGAGCUGAAAUCAGUCGAAGAUACCAGCUGGCUGCAACUGUUUAUUAAAAACACAGCACUGUGCAAACACGAAAGUGGACGUAUACGGUGUGACGCCUGCCCGGUGCCGGAAGGUUAAUUGAUGGGGUCAGCGCAAGCGAAGCUCUUGAUCGAAGCCCCGGUAAACGGCGGCCGUAACUAUAACGGUCCUAAGGUAGCGAAAUUCCUUGUCGGGUAAGUUCCGACCUGCACGAAUGGCGUAAUGAUGGCCAGGCUGUCUCCACCCGAGACUCAGUGAAAUUGAACUCGCUGUGAAGAUGCAGUGUACCCGCGGCAAGACGGAAAGACCCCGUGAACCUUUACUAUAGCUUGACACUGAACAUUGAGCCUUGAUGUGUAGGAUAGGUGGGAGGCUUUGAAGUGUGGACGCCAGUCUGCAUGGAGCCGACCUUGAAAUACCACCCUUUAAUGUUUGAUGUUCUAACGUGGACCCGUGAUCCGGGUUGCGGACAGUGUCUGGUGGGUAGUUUGACUGGGGCGGUCUCCUCCUAAAGAGUAACGGAGGAGCACGAAGGUUGGCUAAUCCUGGUCGGACAUCAGGAGGUUAGUGCAAUGGCAUAAGCCAGCUUGACUGCGAGCGUGACGGCGCGAGCAGGUGCGAAAGCAGGUCAUAGUGAUCCGGUGGUUCUGAAUGGAAGGGCCAUCGCUCAACGGAUAAAAGGUACUCCGGGGAUAACAGGCUGAUACCGCCCAAGAGUUCAUAUCGACGGCGGUGUUUGGCACCUCGAUGUCGGCUCAUCACAUCCUGGGGCUGAAGUAGGUCCCAAGGGUAUGGCUGUUCGCCAUUUAAAGUGGUACGCGAGCUGGGUUUAGAACGUCGUGAGACAGUUCGGUCCCUAUCUGCCGUGGGCGCUGGAGAACUGAGGGGGGCUGCUCCUAGUACGAGAGGACCGGAGUGGACGCAUCACUGGUGUUCGGGUUGUCAUGCCAAUGGCACUGCCCGGUAGCUAAAUGCGGAAGAGAUAAGUGCUGAAAGCAUCUAAGCACGAAACUUGCCCCGAGAUGAGUUCUCCCUGACCCUUUAAGGGUCCUGAAGGAACGUUGAAGACGACGACGUUGAUAGGCCGGGUGUGUAAGCGCAGCGAUGCGUUGAGCUAAACCGGUACUAAUGAACCGUGAGGCUUAACCU
rnacentral:rRNA from 1 species